AUACUUACCUGGCAGGGGAGAUACCAUGAUCACGAAGGUGGUUUUCCCAGGGCGAGGCUUAUCCAUUGCACUCCGGAUGUGCUGACCCCUGCGAUUUCCCCAAAUGUGGGAGACUCAGCUGCACAAUUUGUGGCAGUGGGGGACUGCGUUCAUGCUCUCCCCUA
rnacentral:snRNA from 1 species